GCGAGCGUAGCCAAGUGGUUAAGGCAGAGGUUUGUGGUACCUCCAUUCGUGGGUUCGAUCCCCAUCGUUCGCCC
rnacentral:tRNA from 1 species